ACUUCAUGGAGAGUUUGAUCCUGGCUCAGGACGAACGCUGGCGGCGUGCCUAAUACAUGCAAGUCGAGCGCAGGAAACUGACGGAACUCUUCGGAGGGAAGGCAGUGGAAUGAGCGGCGGACGGGUGAGUAACACGUAAGGAACCUGCCUCAAGGAUUGGGAUAACUCCGAGAAAUCGGAGCUAAUACCGGAUAGUUC
rnacentral:rRNA from 1 species